AGCACUGUUUCCUAGCAAAGCGAGCUCUCCUGUGGAGUGCAAGGGCUCUUUGCACUUCCCUUGCACUUGCAGCAUAGACAGGAUGUCUCCAGACACUGAAAAUGUACAAAAGAAUGACCAUACAUUUGACAUCAUUUGCAUCAAGACAAAUAGGCAUGGGGGUGUAGCACCAGUGAAGCAUUUAGCCAGCUUAUUGAGAAGGGACUCUUCAGAUUAAGUGCCCAAUCAAGAAACACUUAACUGACAAUGGACCUUGGAAGACUCCAAUCCACAUCUAAGAGCCUUCCUGGGAACAUUCAAGGUAGCAUGUGAGCAAUGGCUGCUCUACCUGUAAAGUGAGUCAUGCAUGGACAUGUGACUUGCCCAUGUGACUCCAAACUCCACCUUGCUGCUGUGAUUUUCCUCAGUAAGAACAAAGGGGUAUCCUUCCACGUGGCAGAGAACAUAAAAGGCCCUGGAAAACCCUCCAUUUUGUCUUCAAUCCUGUUUCUUAUCUCUGAAGAAACUUUGCUGCAAACUGAAGCUCUGAACAAAGGACUGACCAAGCUGUGGAUGUACUCUAGAGACUUGAUUUGAACCAGCAGUUUAUUCCAUCACUGCUACAAGCCUGAACCAAGAACUUUGCCAUUACUGUAUGUAAUUGAUUCCAUUUAACCAAUUUUAACUCUCGUUGAUAUUUCUUUCUUUUUUAUGAAUAAACUUUUAGAUUUUAGAUUCUAA